AAGCAGGUGUUCAUCAGACUACGGUUGUGCUUGUCAUUCACAUGGAAGCUCCAUUUCAUUUCUGAUGUAGCCAGUACUGCUCCCCAAAACAGCCUCCCAAAAAUGAUUACUUUCUCCACCUUUUUCUUUAUGUGACCUGAUGAAACCUGGACUGGCUAUUACAGUUGGAGGGAAUGGCUUCCAAGGAGCAAGUCAUCAUCACUUUGAAACGCGCACCAGAGGUUCACAAACCGAGGACAUUCGAAGACAUUACGAGUUUCAUGACUGGAAAAGAUGAGGUGCCUGACAAGCUCCAGGGUACCCAAGAGCAGUGAGACGAGGAUACCCCC